rnacentral:tRNA from 1 species
GCUGGUGUGGCUCAGUGGUUGGAGCAUCAGCCUGAAGGGUCACAGGUUCGAUUCCUGGUCAGGGGCA